GAGCCAAUCUGUACCCCACGGUUCAGUAGCCUGGUUCUGAGAAACUUGACACGUUGUUGAUCACGGGAGAGUAAAUCACUGAGAGAAAUGGAAGAAUUGGGAGAUAGAGAGGAGCCAGGCCCAUGCACAUGAUACAAGUUGAGCUGUAUGCUAGAUUUAGAUUCUGCAAAAUGUUCAUUUAUUAUACAAAAGCCUGUUGAAAUAAAUAUUUCUGCUAACACAGAACUUUAAAGCUUGCAGAAAAGAGAAAAUUUUACAUGCCUUGAAGUUCAGCCAGUGAUGUUGCAAGGAGACAGAAAGCAAGAAACCAAGCCAGCUCCAUCUCUGUAGGGAUUUCUUUUCCUUUUUUCUUUUUUCUUUUUUUUCUUGCUUAUGGUCUGUGUAGAUUAUAU
rnacentral:lncRNA from 1 species